rnacentral:rRNA from 1 species
UACAGAGGGUGCAAGCGUUAAUCGGAAUUACUGGGCGUAAAGCGAGCGUAGUCGGUUAUUUAAGUCGGAUGUGAAAUCCCCGGGCUCAACCUGGGAAUUGCAUUCGAUACUGGAUAGCUAGAGUUCGGCAGAGGGAAGCGGAAUUUCUGGUGUAGCGGUGAAAUGCGUAGAUAUUCGGAAGAACACCAGUGGCGAAGGCGGCUCACUGGUCCGGUACUGACGCUGAUGUGCGAAAGCGUGGGAGCAAACAGG